rnacentral:lncRNA from 1 species
UCUCACUAGAGCAAAGCAGAGGCUUUUCUAGGUUCAACCAGGAGUCAUGGGCAAGGCCACGCAGAGGAGCAAGGCAGCUGUCAGGAGAAUUCAGGCUGCAGUGGCUCAGUGCCCAGGCCACGCAGCCUGAGAUGGGGAGGAACACUGGGAAAUGUGACAUCUGCUGCCCCAGCACCUCCCUGCACGCUCCCUCCCUUGUCCAGCUGCUCAGGAGGAGGGCGGAAGCCAGCAUUUUCCCACUGCCAUUGUCUACCUGACAGGUUCAUCAAUCUUAGCUUAUCUCAUCCUCAUAACUUCUCAAGCUGGUUAUCAUUCCUCUUUUAUGGAAGAGGAAGAGGAAGAGCAGAUUCAGAGGUGUCCAAGGGCACACAUGGAAGCUAAGCCUGUAUUCAAGCCCAGGGGCUGGAACUCCAAAGCCUCUGUCCCUUUCAUGGCAUUGGAAAAUUCUUGCUGACCCAGACGGGAUCUCCUCAGCGGCAUCUGAGUUACCAUCCAUCAGGGCGAUGCGCGGCCUGAGGAGACAGAGAUAAACCCAGAGGCAGGCAGCUCCUGGCAAUAACGGCUGAAGAAAAGAGAAAACGGAACUCAAGACUCCUUCCUGGUUCACAUCCCCCUUGCCACCCCUCACCCCCACCUGGCCCCUUCACCUUCCUGCCCUCAGUGCCCUGGACAGACCCUUGGCCUGGGGAGGGCAGCCUGUCCUGACCAGUGCCAGCCCAGCAUGCUUGGCCCUGGCAACAAUAGCUGGAAGGGCCUCUUGGAGCAAGUACUUCCUGAAGUGCCCAGAGCAGCCACUGUCCCCGCGGCUCAGGAACAAUCACAGCUCACACCAGCUUCCGCGCUGUGCUCCGUUUCAGGGCUUCCUGCACUCUCAGCAGAGCCCCCGGGUGGAUCUGCUGCUGUAGGUUCCCAGCUUAGGAGGGACAGGCAGAUGACACGUGCAGGAGGCCAUGACUCAGACCACUCAGAGAUCUGAAGUUCCAAGCAGGUUAUUCU